CGUCGCCGCCGUCGGAUUGAUCCGAUUUGCGGGCGAUUUGCUACACUUUGCUAAAGGAACCCACUCCACGCUCUUCAAAGAAAGAAGCCACUAGCGGCCAUUCACACAAUGAGGAACCCAAUUUGUCUUGCAGUGGCAGAGGACUCCUUUCCUCUCAUUCUUCCAACCUUCGGCAAAGGCAGCUGAAGCAGUGCCUCCAUUUGGUUGAUGAUCAUUCUCUAAUGUAUGGUAAGUAAAACUUCAAUUGCAAUCUAUCAACUAAGCUUACUCUAAAGUAUCUCAUAGAUAUCUAGUGCCUUCUUCUUGUCAUGACAAGGGAAGUCAUCAAGCAUUCUUAAGUCAAUGAGGGGCACAAGGAAUCAACUUCGCGUCAUCAUGACAGUGAUGGCCAUGAAAGAUCUUAUCUCAACAGGGGGCUCUAAUGCGGCACCAGUAAUGAGGACACCUGCAGCAGCAGCAACUUUGAUAUCAACUGAAAGUUGACAGGAAUUAAGCUGGAACUGAUAUUGCUCAGGAAUGAGCUACGACACUACUCGUCCUACAAGCACUAUCUCUCUAGCAACUCAAUAACAUUAGCAUCUUCUUGGGUUUUUUCGACAGGCAUCUGUUCCCCACUCAUCUGCUAAAGGACUGCCAGCUCAUUGUCUGUCUGACUUCUUUAUAUAAGACAUGUUGAAAGUUUCCCGCAUCAAACUGAUGAAACCCUCGUUGUUCAAUGGCUAGGUCACCCAUUUUAGUUUGACUCUGCUAAGACUACCAACGACCUAGAAGCUAGCAUUGAGGAACUCCAGGGCAUCCCGCAGUGGAUUGGGUGUCAUGAUCACUUGAGUCCCUGAAGUCUGGAACAAACUAUAUUGGACGCGACCAUGAUUGAGCCAAUUACAGAAU